rnacentral:rRNA from 1 species
ACGGGGAGCAGCAGGCGCGAAACCUUUACACUGCACGCCAGUGCGAUAAGGGAAUCCCAAGUGCGCAGGCAUAGAGCCUGCGCUUUUGUACACCGUAGGGAGGUGUACGAAUAAGGGCUGGGCAAGACCGGUGCCAGCCGCCGCGGUAAUACCGGCAGCCCGAGUGAUGGCCGAUCUUAUUGGGCCUAAAGCGUCCGUAGCUGGCCGCGCAAGUCCAUCGGAAAAUCCACCCGCCCAACGGGUGGGCGUCCGGUGGAAACUGUGUGGCUUGGGACCGGAAGGCGCGACGGGUACGUCCGGGGUAGGAGUGAAAUCCCGUAAUCCUGGACGGACCGCCGAUGGCGAAAGCACGUCGCGAGGACGGAUCCGACAGUGAGGGACGAAAGCCAGGGUCUCGAACCGGAUUAGAUACCCGGGUAGUCCUGGCCGUAAACAAUGCCUGCUAGGUGUGGCUCCCGCUACGAGCGGGUGCUGUGCCGUAGGGAAGCCGCUAAGCAGGCCGCCAGGGAAGUACGUCCGCAAGGAUGAAAACUUAAAUGAAUUGACGG